rnacentral:ncRNA from 2 species
UCAAUUCUUCAGGGCAGGGUGAAAUUCCCGAUCGGCGGUAAAGUCCGUGAGUGCAUAUGCAUUGACUUGGUGUAAUUCCAAGACCGACAGUUAUAGUCUGGAUGGUAGAAGAGUUGC